ACCUAGCUCAGGCGCUGAAUGCAGGGUGGCCGCGUGUGGGCGAAGUCCAAGGCUAGGCCUGAGCCCUCGGCCCCUGCGCUACCCGUGGGUCAGCUGCACAAAGAUAGACGCGCUGAACAGGUCUGCAUGUAUGGACUGGAUUGGAGACAGGCUUGAAUAAUAUGGCAGCUAUUGUUUGGCUGUUUCCCUGGGAAUGAAUCACCUAUGGUGUGACUCUUCAACCCCAGCUAUUAUUUUAACCCGUAUAACUAGGAGGAA